UUUGUGUUUGUGUGUGUAGUGUUAAUUUUGUCAUCUAUUUUUAAUUUAGUCUUAGUCUUGUGCCAAAUGUCCUUGUUAGUUUUAGUCAUAUUUAGUCAUUCACAUAU